GACGAACGCUGGCGGCGUGCCUAACACAUGCAAGUCGAACGGGGCCCGCAAGGGUUCAGUGGCGAACGGGUGCGUAACACGUGAAGAAUUUGUCCAACGGCGGGGGAUAGCCGGCCCAACGGCCGGGUAAUACCGCGUACGAUCUUCGGGGGGCAUCCUCUGGAGAUGAAAGCCGCAAGGCGCCGAUGGAGAACUUCGCGGCCUAUCAGCUAGUUGGUGAGGUCAUGGCUCACCAAGGCGACGACGGGUAGCUGGUCCGAGAGGAUGACCAGCCACAUUGGGACUGAGACACGGCCCAGACUCCUACGGGAGGCAGCAGUGGGGAAUAUUGCGCAAUGGGCGAAAGCCUGACGCAGCGACGCCGCGUGUGGGAUGACGGCCU
rnacentral:rRNA from 1 species